rnacentral:rRNA from 1 species
UACGUAGGGUGCGAGCGUUGUCCGGAAUUAUUGGGCGUAAAGAGCUCGUAGGCGGUCUGUCGCGUCGGUCGUGAAAACUUGGGGCUUAACCCUGAGCUUGCGGUCGAUACGGGCAUGACUGGAGUUCGGCAGGGGAGACUGGAAUUCCUGGUGUAGCGGUGAAAUGCGCAGAUAUCAGGAGGAACACCGGUGGCGAAAGGCGGGUCUCUGGGCCGAUACUGACGCUGAGGAGCGAAAGCGUGGGGAG